rnacentral:rRNA from 13 species
UCGGACAUCGUGCUAAUAGUGCAAUGGCAUAAGCGUGCUUAACUGCGAGACUGACAAGUCGAGCAGGUACGAAAGUAGGUCAUAGUGAUCCGGUGGUUCUGUAUGGAAGGGCCAUCGCUCAACGGAUAAAAGCUACCCUGGGGAUAACAGGCUUAUCUCCCCCAAGAGUUCACAUCGACGGGGAGGUUUGGCACCUCGAUGUCGGCUC